rnacentral:lncRNA from 1 species
CAGAUCCACCAGGAGAAACUGGUAGCCACGAUCACAGGAGUGGGGAGCAGGAAAAAAUUUCACCCCGCUUUUGGAUUUUUGAGUUGAAAAAGAACAUACCCUAAUGAAGAGAGUUGUGAGAAAUGAAGUCUUUAGGGUUAGCACGUGGAAGGCCCAGAAGAGCUUUCCUGGAUGAACACACACUUUGAUGAGAGUAGAACAGUGGGUGGCAGGAGUCGGAGGGCCUAGGCCUACCGUAUUCUUCACAAUGCUGCAAGUGGGGCCAUCUUACUCAUCACUUAUUCAUUUCCGAGGUCCUCAGGAGGCAAAAGAGAAUUAGAGGAAAUCACCUUCGUCUUCUGGGACCCAGAACUGGGAGACAUAGAGGAUCAAAGUCGAGGACCAUUUGCCCAGCCCUGCCACAGAACCAGGUGUUCCUUUCAGGAUGAGAAAUCUGUCUGAGAAAGAGCCUGCAAGUAGCUCUUUGCAUGGUCUCUACGAGAGCUGCUAGAAUUAUAAAACAUUCUAACAAGAAGAAUCCUGAGAUACAAUUCUUAAAAUUAUUUUUAAUUGUGGUCAAAUACACAUGACAUAAAAUUUACCAUCUUAACCAUUGUUAAGUGUACAGUUCAGCGGCAUUAAGCACAUUCCCAUUGUUGUUCAACCUGCGUUACACCCAUCUCCAGAAUUCUUCUCAUCUUGCCAAAGUCAAACUCUGAACUCAUUAAACAGUAACUCCGCAUCCUCUCCUACCCCAAGCUCCUGGCAACCAGCGU